rnacentral:rRNA from 1 species
UACGGAAGGCAGCAGUGGGGAAUAUUGCACAAUGGGCGCAAGCCUGAUGCAGCCAUGCCGCGUGUAUGAAGAAGGCCUUCGGGUUGUAAAGUACUUUCAGUCGUGAGGAGGGUGUUAAGGUUAAUAACCUUAGCAAUUGACGUUAGCGACAGAAGAAGCACCGGCUAACUCCGUGCCAGCAGCCGCGGUAAUACGGAGGGUGCGAGCGUUAAUCGGAAUUACUGGGCGUAAAGGGCACGCAGGCGGUUAAUUAAGUUGGAUGUGAAAUCCCCGGGCUUAACCUGGGAAUGGCAUUCAAGACUGGUUAGCUAGAGUCUUGUAGAGGGGGUAGAAUUCCAUGUGUAGCGGUGAAAUGCGUAGAGAUGUGGAGGAAUACCGGUGGCGAAGGCGGCCCCUGGACAAAGGCUGACGCUCAUGUGCGAAAGCGUGGGGAGCAAACAGGGAUUAGAUACC